rnacentral:rRNA from 1 species
GAUGAACGCUGGCGGCGUGCCUAAUACAUGCAAGUCGAGCGAACGGACGAGAAGCUUGCUCCUCUGAUGUUAGCGGCGGACGGGUGAGUAACACGUGGAUAACCUACCUAUAAGACUGGGAUAACUUCGGGAAACCGGAGCUAAUACCGGAUAAUAUUUUGAACCGCAUGGUUCAAAAGUGAAAGACGGUUUUGCUGUCACUUAUAGAUGGAUCCGCGCUGCAUUAGCUAGUUGGUAAGGUAACGGCUUACCAAGGCAACGAUGCAUAGCCGACCUGAGAGGGUGAUCGGCCACACUGGAACUGAGACACGGUCCAGACUCCUACGGGAGGCAGCAGUGGGGAAUCUUCCGCAAUGGGCGAAAGCCUGACGGAGCAACGCCGCGUGAGUGAUGAAGGUCUUCGGAUCGUAAAGCUCUGUUAUUAGGGAAGAACAUAUGUGUAAGUAACUGUGCACAUCUUGACGGUACCUAAUCAGAAAGCCACGGCUAACUACGUG